UACGUAGGGGGCAAGCGUUGUCCGGAAUUAUUGGGCGUAAAGAGCGUGUAGGCGGUCCGGUAAGUCAGCUGUGAAAGUCAAGGGCUCAACCCUUGAAUGCCGGUUGAUACUGUCGGGCUAGAGUCCGGAAGAGGCGAGUGGAAUUCCCGGUGUAGCGGUGAAAUGCGCAGAUAUCUGGAGGAACACCGGUGGCGAAGGCGGCAUCCUGGACCAACACUGACGCUGAGGAGCGAAAGCCAGGGGAGCAAACAGG
rnacentral:rRNA from 1 species